rnacentral:rRNA from 1 species
GGAGGGUGCGAGCGUUAAUCGGAGUUACUGGGCGUAAGGCGUGCGUAGGUGGUUCGUUAAGUCAGAUGUGAAAGCCCUGGGCUCAACCUGGGAACUGCAUUUGAAACUGGCGGACUAGAGUUUGGUAGAGGGGAGUGGAAUUUCAGGUGUAGCGGUGAAAUGCGUAGAUAUCUGAAGGAACACCAGUGGCGAAGGCGACUCCCUGGACUAAAACUGACGCUGAGGUACGAAAGCGUGGGUAGCAAACAGGAUUAGAUACCCUGGUAGUCCACGCCGUAAACGAUGUCGACUAGCCGUUGGUCCUAUAUACAGGAUUAGUGGCGCAGCUAACGCAUUAAGUCGACCGCCUGGGGAGUACGGCCGCAAGGUUA